UAACCAAGACGGACUUCACGAUAGUGGCUCU
rnacentral:piRNA from 1 species